UUGGCGGACGGGUGAGUAACGCGUGGGUAACCUGCCUUACACAGGGGGAGUAACACUUAGAAAUAGGUGCUAAAACCGCAUAAGCGCACAGCUUCGCAUGAAGCGGUGUGAAAAACUCCGGUGGUAUACGAUGGAUCCGCGUCUGAUUAGCCAGUUGGUGGGGUAACGGCCCACCAAAGCGACGAUCAGUAGCCGGCCUGAGAGGGUGAACGGCCACAUUGGGACUGAGACACGGCCCAAACUCCUACGGAAGGCAGCAG
rnacentral:rRNA from 1 species